rnacentral:rRNA from 1 species
AUACGGAGGGUGCGAGCGUUAUCCGGAUUUAUUAGGUUUUAAGGGUGUGUAGGCGGGAGCCUAAGUCAGUGGUGAAAUCUCACAGCUUAACUGUGAAACUGCCAUUGAAACUGGGUUUCUUGAGUAUAGUUGAGGUAGGCGGAAUGUGUAAUGUAGCGGUGAAAUGCAUAGAUAUUACACAGAACACCGAUUGCGAAGGCAGCUUACUAAGCUAUUACUGACGCUGAUGCACGAAAGCGUGGGUAGCGAACAGGAUUAGAAACCCCGGUAGUCC